AAGAAAUCUUCGUGAAGAAGCCAGAAAAAAAAAAAGAAAAAAAGAAAAAAGAAAAAGAGAGUUAGAAACAAUAAAAGAAAAAAGGAAAAACAUCGUAGAAAAACUAAUUGGCGGUUUCUUCUUCAUCUUGUCUUGUCUAAACACUAGGAACCAGAAUUGUGAAAAAAGUGGAGUUAGAGCCAGAUGAUUAAAAAUGUCUCAUGUUAAAAUAAUUCUCAAAAUUUCAUAAUUUUAUACUUUAGAAAAAGAAAAAUAUUAUUGCUAUUAUUUUUUAUUUUACUAUUAAAACAUAUCUUCAUUUCUAUUAUAAUAAUUGUCAAUAUAUAGUGAUAAACAUUACCUUAACAAGAAUCAAAUUAGGGUACUAAACUAUCUAACAACUCAUUUUACCAUCAAAAUGUACUUUCAUUUUUGUUGUAAUUGUUGUCCAUGUAUAGUAAUAAAAAUUACCUUAAAUGGAACAAAAUUGGGGUUAGUAAAGUUUAUGAGUAUAUAAUAUGGCAUUGUAGGUCUCGUUGCUCAGAAUUAGGUAUUUGUACAAUCUUUGAUCCUUUACAACAAACAACAAGACAAAAGAAGAGAAAAAAGAAAAAAAGGGAUCCAAUGUGCAAAAGAUCAUUGCUAGUAGAAAUCUAUAUAGGAAUGUGAGGAUCAACUUCUUAUCAAGUCUAGUCAUUAGACUUCUCCAUGGUUGUCGAUGGGUGUGUAGAGAAUGACUUAGUAUCAUUUACAAUCUCUACUGGCAGACACUUCACCAACAACGCUCGAGGAUAAAAUAAGAUACUUGGAAAGUCACAUGUCUAUGGAGUCAUGAAAAGAUAAAGAAGCAAGGAAAAUGCUAAUCUGCUCACCUUGCAUUCAUGGACCCACCUUGAGCAAACAUUGAGUAGAAUAAAGCUUAAAAUAUCUCUUUUAGGUUUCGCAAUAUGAUUUCCAUUGGGGUUGCCUCACUGGACAAACAUUAGUGCAAAAUUUGUUAACCUUACACUUUGUAGAUGAACCUCAUGCAGAUUUCCUAAAGCCCAAAUUUAGUUGGUUCACAUUUGGGGCUAAAUUAAGCCUAAUUGAUGCUUGCAAUUUUGCCA